GCCCCCUUCGUCUAUCGGUUAGGACGCAAGAUUUUCAAUCUUGAAAGAGGGGUUCGACUCCCCUAGGGGGCGCCA
rnacentral:tRNA from 3 species